rnacentral:tRNA from 1 species
GCCUGAGUGGCUCAUUGGUUGAGCGUCUGACUUCAAGUCAUGAUCUUGUGGUUUGUGAGUUAGAGCCCCACUUUCGGCU